AAGGCCGAGAGGACUGAGCCCU
rnacentral:miRNA from 1 species